AAAACAUCAAUGUGUGGCUGCCUCUCCCACGCCCCCAAUGGGGACCUGGCCUGCAACCCAGACUUGUGCCCUGACUGGGAAUCGAACCGGUGACCCUUUGAUUCACGGGCUAACAUUUAACCCUUGAGCCACUCCAGCCACUAGUAUCUUUAAUAAUCUGAUUAGUUCACUUUUCUAAGGUUUACUUCAAACCAUCUUCCUUAUCUUUAAGAGUUAAGUACAUCUUCUAAGACUUUAAUGUGGACAAAUACAAGGCAUAGUAUUUCCAUGGCAAAAAAAAACCCCUCAAUUAUAUUUACAUCUAAAUUUAUAACUGCUUUGGUCAGAAUAUUUGUAUUCCCUCCCAUGUUCAUAUGUGGAAAUUCUAUUGCCAGAUAUGAUAGUGUUAGUAGGUAAAGCCUUUGGGAAGUUCUUAAGUCAUGAGGAUGGAACCCUCAUAAAUGUAAUUAGUGCCUUUUAAAAGAGGCUUCAAAGAGAUCCCUAGCCCCUUCCACCAUGUGGAGUCACAAAUAAGAAGGUACCAGCUAUGAACCCGGAAGAGGGCCUCCACCAGAGUGUGACCAUGUUGGUGCUUUGACCUCAGUCUUCCCAGCCUCCAGAACUAUAAGCAAUAAAUUCCUGUUGUUUAUAAAGCACUCAGUCAGUGGUAUUUUGUUAUAGCAACUAAGACAACUAUAUUUAUGUUAUAUCAACUAUAAUUACAACUAUAUGACCUCUGAGUCAUCACUUGGAAGCCAGGAAUGGAGUCUAAGUGGCCUUGGAGCCUGCUGUCUGAAGACAAAGAUCCCGUGUGCUGUUCUGUCACAGGGCUGAGAAGAUGCUGAGGAUCAUUAGGAAGGAACAAAAGGAAAUAUUUUCUUUCCCUUGUAGGAAGUUGUGGUGUGUCCUACUUUGUGGAAUCAACCAAGGAACAGAAAGCCAAGCCAAAAAAUAAGUUUUCAGGCUGGACAGAAACAAGCAGAGAGGGAAAAGUAAUAUGAUGAGAGCCUGUGAAAUAGUUAGGAUGGUAAAAUUAAGGACAGGUUUGUUUGCUGCAGUACCACACCAAACUGCCUCACCAGUGAGAACUUUGGUGAUUUAAAACCACUCGUUGAUCUAAGGAAGUGUUCUUUCUGUAGACUGUCUCUUAGGUUUGUAGUCCAUAAGAGUUAGGGCAUUAUUGGCAGAAGGCUGUCAGCUUACCACACGGCAUCAAUGAAGUCACCAUGUUCCAGGAUCUGGCCCUCAGCCUCACAUAUAGGACCAGAAAUGUAGCCUGUAGCCUCAGAGUGGAUUCCUCCCUUAGGGACUUGGUAGGUUCGUAGGAACUUGAUGGAUGAGCCGAGUGCUGUUUUACUAAGUGGCGGGUGAACCAAUGCUCUCGUGCUGUCAAAGAGUCUAUGGGAGAGCCUCCUGGGAAGUCAGAUUACUAGAAAGCUUUGGUGAAUGGUUAAUUAGAUUCAGAAAUGUUAGUUAUAUAACUUAAAUGUUAUAUAACUGGGUGAUGGAGUCAGAUUAUCCAGCAUUCAAGUCUUAUCUUAGCUCCUUAUUAGCCAUGUGAUCUUGGGUGAAUUACUAACAACUCAACUGCAGGUUUCUUCUCGGUAAGAUAGGAUGAUAAUUAAUUCUCACAGUGGUUCAAAUUAAAUGAGACAAUGCAAGUAAAGCUUUUCACAUAACCGUAGGCACCAAUAAUCAUACAAUAAAUGUACACUAUUGUUUUUUUCCAUUAUUGUUAUUAUUUCUUUCAUUUUUAUGCUUCUUGUUACCUACCCUCAUUCCCAAAUCUACUUCUGAUAGAUACGCUCUUUCUAGAUUCAUUAAUAGAAUCAGUUACUGCGUCUGCUUUCCUUAACCUGGGAGCCAUUCUUUCUGGGAGUACACUGGGGAAGGUGUACUUUGUGCAAUAAUUCUCAGGAGAACAAUUAUAUUUCCAAGAUCUUCCUUGCUCCCACAAGUUGCCCCAUAAAGCUUGCAAUAAUCAUGGUUGUUGCUUGUUUGUUUGUUUGUUUUGUAAUUAUUCUCUAAGCAAGAGAAACAAAUGAAGGAGAGAUGAAGUAACAGCGGGCGAGAAUCUUCCUGUCCACUGUGGUGGAUAAGACCUAAAGUUACCCCUGAAUACUCCUGAUGCCUCUGUAUCUGCCGGGGAGACAUGUGUGAGACAUAAUCCAAUUCAGCAAGCAUUUAUCGAGCACCAUCUAGGUUCAAUUCCCUGUUCUAGGCCCUGGGGAUAUAGAGAUGACCCAAGUUCCUGCCCUUGAACUCAAAAGUUUAACUGGUCACAUUGGUUAGAAAACAAAAACAAAAAAUUAAUGCAAUAACUGUUAUGGGAAGAAAUGGAUCAGUAGAUAAAGGAGCAAAUCAUUCCCAGGAGUAUCUUGUUUCAGCUGGGAAUUAACAAGCAAGGAAAGGCGUAUAAGGUGAAGAGUCGUAAUCGAGGGUAUAAAAGGGCACAAGAGUGUUGGGUGGAUAGCAAGUCAUCCCACACCAUUUGACCAGGCUUUCAAUGUCAACUGCCAAGGCCAACCACUUUCUCCUGACAUUUUAAAGAGCUGCCCUUCUACACCAUCUUCUACUGAGAUCACAGGAUUUUUUAUCCUUAUUGAUGUAUGCUUUCUUUGGACCCCUGUAAAAGUCUUUUUUUUUUUUUUUAACCUCUCAGUUCAAAUUACCACUUUCUAAAGUCUAAAUGACUCUACCUAGACCUAUGUCCUGGGGAGUAGGAUAUAGGGAAGUAGGGUACUUUUGUUUGUGCUCUUACCUGCAUUUUUCAAAUGGGCAUCGAUCAUUCUUUAAUUAUCUCAUUUUGCAAAACACCUUUUUGUGGCUGCCCUUUCUACUGAUGUUCACAGCUCUGUCUGAAGAGCCAGACACGGUUUUGUGCCAAACUCAAGAAAUGAAUACUUGCUCAGAGUCAUCCAAUAACUCAUUGGCGAAACCAGACUCUGAAUACACGAGGAAGAAGAGUGGGAGACAGGAGGAGAAGGUUGGAAGAGGGAGGGAGGGAAGUGCGGGGGCAGCAUCCGGUGACCACCAAUGCAAUAAAUCAGACCCUGGACCACC